CACACACACUGCAGGAUUAGAGAGUCUGAUACCAUCUUUUGCUUCCCGAUACCGAUUCCGAUACUUGAAUUUGCGUAUUGGCCGAUACUGAGUACUGAUCCGACACCAGUGUGUUGUAUGUUUUAUUAUGUUUUAACA